rnacentral:rRNA from 1 species
AACGAACGCUGGCGGCAUGCCUAACACAUGCAAGUCGAACGAGACCUUCGGGUCUAGUGGCGCACGGGUGCGUAACGCGUGGGAAUCUGCCCUUGGGUUCGGGAUAACAGUUGGAAACGACUGCUAAUACCGGAUGAUGACUUCGGUCCAAAGAUUUAUCGCCCAGGGAUGAGCCCGCGUCGGAUUAGCUAGUUGGUGAGGUAAGAGCUCACCAAGGCGACGAUCCGUAGCUGGUCUGAGAGGAUGAUCAGCCACACUGGGACUGAGACACGGCCCAGACUCCUACGGGAGGCAGCAGUGGGGAAUAUUGGACAAUGGGCGAAAGCCUGAUCCAGCAAUGCCGCGUGAGUGAUGAAGGCCUUAGGGUUGUAAAGCUCUUUUAACCGGGAUGAUAAUGACAGUACCGGGAGAAUAAGCCCCGGCUAACUCCGUG